rnacentral:rRNA from 1 species
UACGUAGGGUGCGAGCGUUGUCCGGAAUUACUGGGCGUAAAGAGCUCGUAGGUGGUUUGUCGCGUUGUUCGUGAAAACUCACAGCUUAACUGUGGGCGUGCGGGCGAUACGGGCAGACUGGAGUACUGCAGGGGAGACUGGAAUUCCUGGUGUAGCGGUGGAAUGCGCAGAUAUCAGGAGGAACACCGAUGGCGAAGGCAGGUCUCUGGGCCGCAACUGACGCUGAGGAGCGAAAGCAUGGGGAGCGAACGGG